rnacentral:rRNA from 1 species
GACAGAGGGUGCAAACGUUGUUCGGAUUUACUGGGCGUAAAGCGCGUGUAGGCGGCUUUGCAAGUCGGAUGUGAAAGCCCACGGCUCAACCGUGGAAGUGCAUCCGAAACUGCAUGGCUUGAGUCUCGGAGAGGAAGGUGGAAUGCUUGGUGUAGAGGUGAAAUUCGUAGAUAUCAAGCAGAACACCUGCGGCGAAGGCGGCCUUCUGGACGAUGACUGACGCUGAGACGCGAAAGCGUGGGGAGCAAACCGG